UAUAAAAACCGCUGAUAUAGUUCUUCUUGCGUUCACAACACUUCAGACGGAGUCAAAGAUAGACUACCUACUGGUGAGAGCUACAACUGUCUUGUCUUGUUUUAAGGUCCUACCCAUCGUUCAUUAUGUCCAAAACAGUUUUGAUCGUAUUGGUUGCCAUGCUGUUGGUGGCGACUUCAAUGGCGUCUCCAGUGAGAAAUAAACGGUUCUUCAAGUGCUCCGUGGACCCGAAUUGCGGCGUCCAUGUUGGCGUUCAAGCCGGCCCGAGCGGUCAAGUCCUCACUUGUUGGUGCGCGAACCCACAAACCAACAUGAAGUGCUGCGUUGACGUCAACUGGGGUUAAAUAUUCAGACUAUUUCUUCUAUAACAUUAUCUUAUAUAUAUGCAUUGACUUCAGCGCCUGAGCCAGAAUUAUAACUCCAGUUUCAAGUUAUCGCUGUUUUGUCCAACCGCCAAUGAACUUAUUUAGGCAUUUUGUAUAUUUGUAAAGUUUUUUUUACAAAGUACAAAUUUCAUUAUAUGAUUUCAAUCAUUUAUGAAGCAUCCAACUACAUUUGUAAUAUUUUAAUCUGUACAAGGUUUGGAUGUAAGACAAAAUUAUUGAUAUGUACUCAGACUCACUCUAAAGUGUAACAAAUGCUUUUCUAGUUCCUCUAUUUAAUGAAUAAACUGUCAUCUAAAC